rnacentral:lncRNA from 1 species
CUCAGAAGGUGGGGCCGACCCACAAAUAAGGGGUCAAGACAAACCAGGAAGAGAGAGAAGGGGCUGGAAGGAUCUGCGAACCAUAGAGAAAGAGACAAUAUAUUUCGACUGGAUUUACCGUGUAUGAGCUGGACUGUUUGGACUUACCUGUUGGCGUUUGGACCUGGACCUACCGAGAACCCGAUUCGUGUACCGAACCUUGCUAUCCUUGACCUCGCCUGCGGCCUGCGUGGACCAGGACGGAGAAACAAACACGCAGGUUAUGAGAAUCUACAGUCUGAAGCAAUAUCCCUUGAUCCAUGGACUGUACUUGAAAUGAUACAAGAUCACCGAGAGCAUCACUGAGGAGAGAAUCACCAAGGACAGGGGAGCAUGAACAUCUACCAUCUACCGCCCCGCAUGAUUUGUUCAUUUUGAAUAAACCUAUUUUCCUCCCCCUGAUUUGCUUUGGGGUCUGUGUUAUUGAAUAAUAACAUCAACUACUAACACGUCACGUUAACAUUAGCUAAAGUUAACCAAAUAUGUUUGUACAUAAAUCAGGGAUUUCCUCAUCGUCUGAUUCAUUUUCAGAGUCAAUUUGGCACUAUCGUCCUCCAGAAAGUAGUCCAUCACAACUUUUUCCCACAGACCUUUGUCAAUAGCGCCUGAUAAAAUCAGGACAGCAAUGUUAUUGAGAGCAAUAGCAACAUAUUUGCAGUUCUCCAUGGCUAAUGUUAUAUCUUAUGAAAAAAAAAUUGUAUAAAGGAUUAUCUAUGCAUAACAAGCAGCUUAUUUUAUAGACUCAAGAUGCAACACCGCAGACCAAUCUGAAACUCAUCUCUCGGCAGGUCCACCC